rnacentral:rRNA from 1 species
GACGAACGCUGGCGGCGUGCUUAACACAUGCAAGUCGAACGCUGAAGCUUGGUGCUUGCACUGGGUGGAUGAGUGGCGAACGGGUGAGUAAUACGUGAGUAACCUGCCCUUGACUCUGGGAUAAGCCUGGGAAACUGGGUCUAAUACUGGAUACGACAUGCCACUGCAGGGUGGUGUGUGGAAAGGGUUUUACUGGUUUUGGAUGGGCUCACGGCCUAUCAGCUUGUUGGUGGGGUAAUGGCCUACCAAGGCGGCGACGGGUAGCCGGCCUGAGAGGGUGACCGGCCACACUGGGACUGAGACACGGCCCAGACUCCUACGGGAGGCAGCAGUGGGGAAUAUUGCACAAUGGGCGGAAGCCUGAUGCAGCGACGCCGCGUGAGGGAUGACGGCCUUCGGGUUGUAAACCUCUUUCAGCACGGAAGAAGCGAGAGUGACGGUACGUGCAGAAGAAGCGCCGGCUAACUACGUG